rnacentral:rRNA from 1 species
CGAGCGGAAAGGCCACUUCGGUGGUACUCGAGCGGCGAACGGGUGAGUAACACGUGAGUAAUCUGCCCCUGGCUUCGGGAUAGCCACCGGAAACGGUGAUCAAUACCGGAUAUGACAGACCCUCGCAUGGGGGUGUGUGGAAAGUUUUUCGGCCAGGGAUGUGCUCGCGGCCUAUCAGCUUGAUGGUGAGGUAAUGGCUCACCAUGGCUUCGACGGGUAGCCGGCCUGAGAGGGUGACCGGCCACACUGGGACUGAGACACGGCCCAGACUCCUACGGGAGGCAGCAGUGGGGAAUAUUGGACAAUGGGCGGAAGCCUGAUCCAGCAACGCCGCGUGAGGGAUGACGGCCUUCGGGUUGUAAACCUCUUUCAGUACCGACGAAGCGCAAGUGACGGUAGGUACAGAAGAAGCACCGGCCAACUACGUGCCAGCAGCCGCGGUAAUACGUAGGGUGCGAGCGUUGUCCGGAAUUAUUGGGCGUAAAGGGCUCGUAGGCGGUUUGUCGCGUCGGGAGUGAAAACGCCGUGCUUAACACGGCGCUUGCUUCCGAUACGGGCAGACUAGAGGUAUUCAGGGGAGAACGGAAUUCCUGGUGUAGCGGUGAAAUGCGCAGAUAUCAGGAGGAACACCGGUGGCGAAGGCGGUUCUCUGGGAAUGACCUGA